AUAUACAUUUAUAUACAAAAGUAUUCAACUUUUUCUAACUUCUGCCCAUGUGAUUCAAAGUCUUUUUUGCAUCAACCAAUAAAUUUAUAUACAAAAGUAUUCAACUUUUUUAAAUCUGCCACCAGUACCCAUGCGCAUAUGUGAUCCACACAGCCCUUUUCUCAUCAGCUAACAGCCAUCCUAGACUUCCUACUCUAAAACUUGGAGUAUUAAACUUUUUCAAACCUGCUGCCAGCCUGCCACCAGUACCCAUGUGAUCCGCACACCCUUUUCUCAUCAGCCGAUAGCCAUCGUAGUCUAGAACUUACGCUGUCUGACUAUCCACGUGACAUGCACUGAUACACAACAAAAUUGAAACCCACUCCUCACUCUUCAAUUCUCAUUUAUAGAUCCCAUAUUCAGGAUUUAUCUUACUUUCUCAGUUUCUCUACUCACACAACUGGUUGGGUUGCUUUGCCCCACAACAACGCCGAUCAUCUUUUUUGUUGAAGGAUUUUUACUAGAAGACUUUUUGGUACUUCUGAAUGAAGGGAAAUUAUUAUUUUUGCACGGUUAAUCAGUUGCGAUGUAGAGGGGAAUGCCAAUACUUGUAAUGUUACUUUUCUAAUAUGUAAGGAAAUGCUAGGGGUAUGCUCUGGGCUAUAAUUGUGCUGAAUUGUUUCUUGGUAUGAUUCUAUUUUAUGUAGUAAUUAGUUUUGCUUAAUAUUUUUAUUUAAGAUAUUUACAUCAAUUAGAUUUGAUGUUAUUCAUUGUUUUGCAAAUGGAAAUAUGAAACUUUUAGUUGUACUA